rnacentral:tRNA from 4 species
CGGGGCGUGGCGCAGUCCGGUUAGCGCACCUGCUUUGGGAGCAGGAGGUCGCCGGUUCAAAUCCGGCCGCCCCGACUA